rnacentral:rRNA from 1 species
UACGUAGGGUGCAAGCGUUGUCCGGAAUUAUUGGGCGUAAAGAGCUCGUAGGCGGUUUGUUGCGUCGGCUGUGAAAUCCCGAGGCUCAACCUCGGGUCUGCAGUCGAUACGAGCAAACUAGAGUGUUGGCAGGGGAGACUGGAAAUUCCUGGUGAUAGCGGUGAAUACGCAGAUAUCAGGAGGAACACCGGUGGCGAAGGCAGAUCUCUGGGCCGUAACUGGACGC